rnacentral:snRNA from 1 species
ACGAAAAAAGUUCAGGUAGUUUU